GGCGCGAAAGAGCCCGCCGUAGCCUGGCGCGCACGCUUUUCCUUUCUUCAACUCUCCCUCAGCCACAAGCCUGCCUUAGGGCAUCUCCCGCCCUCCUGAAUGGGCUCUCAGUUCCUCCAGAAGGAUUUCAUCCAUCCUUUGGGGCUCAAGAAAGGCGAGAAAAGCUUGCAGAGAGAAAUGGUGUGUUACAGAAGUGAUAUCUAAGCCGCAGCUUCGGACCCUAGAAGGAGCGUCGCACCAAGGGAGCCAAAUAUCUCCAUGCCGCCGUCUCCUUUCCCGCACUUGCAAGGCGUUUAAUCUCGGGAGGAACUUGGGGCCGCUACUCUCGUGCCCAUUUUCUACGCCUCCCAAGACGGAGAAGCAGCUGCUUGGAUGCUCAGCCAGUCGCUGGCGGGGCCGGCGCUCUGGACCGAGGGAGAGAUGCGGCAGGCAGCGCUUCCAGUUCAGCCCACGCUUCGCACGGGGCGACCUCGGGGGUUACCCGUGUGAGAAACUUUGAGUGGGAGAAGAGGUCCCGGAGCUGCCGGGGAAACCACUCCGCUGCCUCGGGGGUCUGAGUACCCGACUCGCGGGCCUUGACUCGCCGGCUGCUAGGCGCGGAGGUUUACACCUCGUGUGGCAAAUAAGGGAGCCAGGAACCAGGUGCAAAAAGGACUUCUCCGCCUCGCCCUCCUUCUUUGCCCUGGGACUUGAAUUUGUCCCUUUUCUAAGCCCUACGUCUGACGAGGGACCCCAGUGAGAUCCUUACAAACGAGCCCAGCGGAGACUGGCUACCCGCAGAGCCUGGGUCGCUUUCCCUGGGUCCCUUUUCCUCCCUUAUUGCCUUUCCCUGGAGAGAGAAAGUAUGGGGCAAGGCGGAAUAGCCGAAAGUAUGCCUUGGCGUUGAAAGCCACGCAGACUCGCCAAGCAUGGAAUAAGCGAUCGCCCCGCAUCACACGGUAGCGGCAGGCGGGAUCGAGACCUCGCCGAGCUGCCAAAGGGCGGAGAACAGCGCGAGGCUGCGGGACUUCGCGGUGUUUUCGGUGGAAGGAGCAGGAGGAAGAGAGAAACGGCGCCGAAGGAGGGAAACGCGUUUCUUGCGCGUUUGGAAUGAAUUGGGCUUGUUUUGAAAUCGUGCCGGCGUCGCCUGCCCCACUCACCGACUGCUUUCCAAACCGAGAAGCGUUGGAACUUCUGUCUCAAGUAUAGCUAGUAGCCCCCCGCCCCCCACAAACCUCUCUCGCCAUCUGAAAACGUUCUCCUAAACCUAAUCCAAGCCUCUCCCCAUUAAAUCCAUUCCACUUGAUGGUGCAGGCGGAUUUGGAAUUGGUAAACGAUGCAAGUCCGAUAAGACUGGAGUUUCCCUCUGGGAUCUGAAGGAGGAUCACUAGGUGGGUCCAUAAGGAAGCUGGGCUGCAGGAUGAAUAAAAGAUACUUACAGAAAGCAACAAAAGGAAAACUGCUAAUCAUAAUAUUUAUUGUAACAUUGUGGGGGAAAAUAGCAUCUGGGGCAAACCAUCACAAAGCUCAUCAUGUUAAAACUGGAACUUGUGAAGUGGUGGCUCUCCACCGUUGUUGUAAUAAGAACAAGAUAGAAGAAAGAUCACAGACAGUCAAAUGCUCCUGCUUUCCUGGGCAGGUAGCUGGUACCACCCGAGCAGCUCCUUCUUGUGUUGAUGCUUCAAUAGUGGAACAAAAAUGGUGGUGCCAAAUGCAACCAUGUCUUGAAGGUGAAGAAUGCAAAGUUCUUCCAGACAGGAAAGGAUGGAGUUGUUCUUCUGGGAAUAAAGUGAAAACAACUCGGGCAAACGUGUAAAACCAUUCAAGGAAAGGAGAUUUCUGCUGUGCCUGAUGUCAAUUUUGAUUAUUCCACACACAUACAAUAUUCUGGCUCCACGUUUGGGGCAAUAGUGAUGAAUCCUAGUCUUGGUCGGAUGCUCAGGAAGGGUCAGAAGGUUCGUUGAGGAAUAGAGAUGUUCCAGCCUCGCUUUAAUACUCAAAGAGCAGCAGGUAACUUGAUAGCAAAAGACAAAUCAAAUCAAACUCAUGACUUAUAACAUCAAAUAAAGUCACAUAGGAUGUUUUAAUAUUCAAGUAUGAUCAAUGAAGUUAUUUUUGCAACUACUGGGCCAUAUAAAUUAUUUCAAUGAGAACAUGAGCGGCAAUAAAUAGCCACCUGAUUUCAAUGAUUUCAAUGGACUGAAUUGUGUACAUUUGUAAAAAUACCACAAACAUAAAUGGAUUAUAUGGCAAAGGAGGUCAAGAGAUGAUGCUGAAGAGACACCGAAGAAGCAGUAAUCUGUUGGAUCCUGGCUUGAGACUUGUGACAAUUCAUCUCUACAAAAGCAGUCUUUGAACUGUUCUGAUACUUUUCCUCCAGAACUUUACCAAUGUUCCAUAUCUGUUGGGAUUGCAUCCUAAUUUAAUCAAGUUACUGUUCCAGAAAUUCUUUUCUGAUACAGCAGUCUUUUGAUUUGUAUUCUAAUCCUGAUAAUAUAGGAUUACAUAUUUCUACAUACUGAAAUUGCUUUUCUUAUAGGAAUGGAAAUAUAUAUCCAUUGUUAAGCAUUAUUGUUGACAAGAAGUAAUUAUCUGAAUACGUCACUCAUAUACGAAUGUUCCAUUAGUCGGACAUGUUUCCCUAAGACUAACCAGCUACUGCAACUCCUUUCUGAUAAAUAAAGGAUGGUCAAAAGCCAAUUAUCAUUUUCCCUCCCUGCUAUUUUAAAAUAUCAGUUUUGUAUAAUUUCAAGAAGAUUUCCUUGUAUACACUUUUAUUUGUUAAGAAUAGGUCCUACAAAGAAAAUAAAUAUUACAUGACAGUAACUAGUCCCUUUAUGAAGAUAGACAGGGAUGCAUGUUUUUUUCUGAGAUGUAAUGGUAGUCAUACAGAAUGGUAGUCAUACAGAUGUGUCUUUUAUGGUACUGUAAAAAUAUCUUGCUUGAAAAAAAUAUUACUAUCUGGAUGCUUAAAUAGGUGUCUGCUCAAUUCUGUUUCUUUAUAGAGAAAAUUUGGUUCAAAUUUGAAAUCCAUUGAUAUUUUCCUUGGCUACUUCCUUUGGAAUUUCCACUCUAUAAUCAUUUUGUUAAACCAAUCAUUCUUUAUCUUCUAUUUUGGUAUUUAUUUUUAAUCUUGAUGAUCUGCUGUUUCAUUAACAAAAUAUUUAAUGUUUAAAUGCCUUAAGCAAUUGUAAAUCUUUUUUCUAAGUUAUUACAGAAUGUAUAAUUUUUAUAUGCCAUUUAAUAUAUAUCAUGUGAUCUUGAAAUUUAGGAUAAAGAGCAGACUUUCUUUUGGCACUUCACACAGAUACUACAAAAGCAAGCUGGUUUUAGAAAAGGUAAAAAGAGAGAUCUAUACUGCAUUUCAGAAGUUCACCCAGUGAAAAUAAUUGGAUUGACAACAUAAAGUUACUUCUAACUACUGUUACUGGUGGGAGAGAAACUCUUCCCAUUGUUAGAAUCCACUGACAACUAUUCCCAUUGUUACAACUCAUUGUAACAGUGGCAAAGUCUAAUUAGAAAUAAAUUGGGUUCCAUGAUGAAUGAACAGCCCAGGGUACUAUUCCCUGUCACAUCAAACAACAUUGUCUCAUGAUUUCAUUACAUUUGUUGUAUUAUGGCAUUAAAAAUCAGUUUGAGGAGUUAACCGUAUCAUCCUGCCACACAAUAAUCCAAAAUUUUACAAGGAAAUGUAUUACUUUAAUUAGGAGGAAUUAGAUGUAGCACCAGUUACGUUCCUUAGUAUUUUAAAAGGGUUAAUAUUGUAUCUGGUCAGCUUUAAAAGGGAUGUGUAGUGGAAAACCACAGCAUUUGACACUUUGCCUGGAAUAGUACAAAGUAUUAAUGUGUAAUUUUGUAGAACUUAUGAGUUUGGCAUAAGUUUAGCCAAAAUUCUAUGACAUGCUUCUCAUCAUUUGUUUCUUUUGUGUUUAUUCUUAACCAACACUAAAAUGCUGUAUUAUUUACAAGUGUAAGACAUGCAUAUUCAUAGGUGAAAAUAAAUGGAUUUUUAAAUAUA